rnacentral:lncRNA from 1 species
UCAGGGUUGCUAAGAAACAUUGAAUGCCUCAGAAAUUGUGGCAUUGUUGGGUCUCAGCUGUCAGUGCUAUUGGUGAGGCAACCUAGGCUAUUUUGUUAUGAGGAAUCAAAACUUAGACACCUUGUUUCACGGGUUUUAGAUAUGGGAUUUUCAAUUAACUCGAGGAUGUUUGUUUAUGGAUUGCAAGCAGUUAGUUACCUGAGUGAAGAAACAUUUGAUAGAAAAUUGGAAUUAUUUAGGAGCUACGGAAUUUCCAAAGAAGAGUUCAUUGAAAUGUUUCGGAAGGCACCUGGUAUACUUGCGUCGUCGGAGGAGAGGUUAAAGUUGGGACUUGAGUUCUUUCUGAAAGAUGUUGAAUUUAAAAAGUCGGUGUUGGUUCAUAAUCCGGUUUGUUUAACGCUAAGUAUAGAAAAUCGAGUGAUUCCUCGAUAUAGGGUUUUUCAGAUUGUUAUGCCAAGGGGAAUGUUGAAGAAGAAAUUGAGUUUUGGUUCAAUGCUGCUCUUGAGUGAGGAGAAUUUCUUGAAGAAGUUUGUGUUGAGGUUUGGAGAUGAUGCAGAGGAGUUGUUGCUAGCUUACAAGGGCCACAGUUUGGGCUCUUCUCGUAAAGAGAAUCUUGAGACAACCAUAUAAAUUUCAAUAAAUUAACUAUCGGCUUUUGCAAUCUUUGAGUCAUUAGCAUUAACUAUUUCAAUGAGAGUUGCUGUUCUAUUUCGAGAUCGGGCAGAGAAGGAUUUGAGAGCGUAGUUAAAAGUUGAUGAAAAAUGGGAAACCUCCAGUGGUUUCACUUAAUGAGGUUGCAUGAGAGUUUUGGUGAAGGUUCACUGGCCUUUCUGUGUGGUAGCAUAUAGAAGAAGAGAUCAAAGCAUUGAACGAGAAGUCAAUUACCCUUAAACAAGCGAAAGAAAUUUUGAGAAGAGUAAGUUCUGUUACUAACUAACAUCAGACAAGUCUAAUUUUAUGAUAUCUGUAUCUAUUUGCUAGAGAAUUUGUACAAGCAUAAGAAAGUUUCCCUGCUGCGGUAAAUGAUUAUGGAUAUUUUCCUUCAAAAUUAUUUUGUCUCAUGGGACGUCUGUAUGCACAUCAUUUAAAUCUCUUAGAUCAUUUUAAUUUUCCAAAUUAUUCCUAUCCUAGUUGCAGUAGAAAGAUAAGACUGAGCCAGCUGAAAUGUUCGUGAAUGCACCCUGACUACGAAAUUUUUGGGCAAUAACCAAUUUUGCUCGUGCCAGUGAGCAAGACAGAAGAAAUUAGGAGAGUGGGGUUACAGAUUUUUUGUACGUGAUUGAAAAUUAAGCAAAUUUAUGUUACUCUACUUAUUUUGUUCUGGCAUAGGUUUUUUUAUAUUAUUAUUUGUGAAUUUUUUUUCUUAUUCUUUUUACCUUUAAAUAAAUGUUCAGUUGUUUGGUAGUGCAGUGCUGUGACUCUUAAAUCAUAGCUGCUAGCUCUAGAAAUAAAAAUUUAUAGUGUUUGGUAAAAUAUGAUUUUUAAGUAAUAAUUGUGACAAAAAUAGUACGGGUAUUGCAAACUUUUCAUCAAAUAAAUGUGGGACAAAAUCACAUAGCCGUAGUUUUUCAAUGGUACUGAACUAAAUUUAAAUGUGCUUCCCAAAAGUUAUCGAUUUGAAUCUGAUGGAGUACUUUUUUCGCAGAUCAUCUUUAACUCUACAUCCGUAUUAUCAAAUUUGAGAGAUCUAAUUUGUAACAAUGAAUAACUUAAAAUAUGCUCAAACUAAAUAACUUGAACGUCAAUGCUAUUCACGUUUACCAUUGGAGAAUAAACUGUAAAUUAUUUUUCAAUUAUGUCAAGGCAUUGCAAAUUGUCCAUUUGUGCAAAAAUCAAAAGCAAGAAUGUGUUGGAUUUUUUUUUUUUUUCCUAAUGAAAAAUACUGUAGGAAUGAUAAGAGAUUUUUCCGUAAGAAAAACCCAAAAAGAUACGCAAAUUAUAUGUACUCUCUCCUCUUCUUGUCCUUAUAGAAAAUAAGAAUCAGGGAGUUUUGGCUAUGAAAAAAAUAAAAAUUUGGACAAAAUAUGCCGCCUUCUGAUGAAAUCCUUAAUUCUACUUAUUUACUGUUCAUUUUAAGCCCUUAAUCUCUCAAAACUGAAACACACCUGUCCCCAAAAUGCAGAGAAUCAAUUCAUUUCCAAAUUCCAAAAGCUUUGCAAUCAAAUCCCAUUUCUCAUUUUUCUCUUCUCUUUCGGAAACCCAAAAUUCUAACACUUUCCUCCUCAAUUACCUCAUCGAAACCCUAAACAUUCCCAAACCUCGAGUCCUUGUAAUCUCAAACAAAUACUCUCGCGUUAAAUCCCUUGAAAAACCACAAAUUGUACGUCAGUUUUUAGCAAAAUGUUGGAUUCUCAGAUACUCACGUUCAAGUGACAGUUAAUGCAGAACCCCGAAUUCUCUUCUCUGAUAUUUGACAAAACCCUUAAACCAAAGAUUGAAUUUUUCCGGCAUCUGGGUUUCAUGGUUUCUGAUUUGGGUAAUUUUGUUUCCAAAAAUCCUUGUCUUUUAACUGCUAGUUUACAGAAAAAAAAAAAAAAAAAAAUGAUUCCAUGCAUUGAAGUUCUUAAGGAAAUAUUAGUGAAUGAUACUAAUAAUGAAGAUACCAACGAAACAUUGAAUUCUUCAAAAAAUUGUGGCAUUGCUGGGUCUCAGCUGUCAAAUUUAUUAGUAGUGCAACCUAGGCUAUUUUGUUAUGGGGAAUUGAAAAUUAGACACCUUGUUACACGGAUUUCAGAUAUGGGAUUAUCAACUAAAUCGAGGAUGUUUGUUCAUGGAUUGCAUGCACUUAGUUGCAUGAGUGAAGAAACAUUUGAUAUAAAAUUGGAAUUAUUUAGGAGUUAUGGAUUUUUCCAGAGAAGAGUUCGUUGAAAUGUUUAGAAAGACGCCUAGAAUUGAUUAGGUUCUCCGAGGAGAGGAUAAAGUGAGGGCUGCAGUUCUUUUUGAAAAAGAUUGAAUUUGAAAAGGUGGUGUUGGUUCGUUUUCCUAUUUGUUUAGCAUGUAACAUUGAAGAUUGGGUGAUUCCUCGAUAUAGGGUUUUUCAAUUUAUUAUGUCAAGAGGGAUGUUGAACAAGGAAUGUAGAAUGCUGCUUUUGAGUGAGGAGAAUUUCUUUAGGAAGUUUGUGUUGAGGUUUGAAGAUGAUGCAGAGGAGUUGUUGCUAACGCACGGGGGCCGCAGUUUGGGUUCUUCUUUGAAAGAGGAAUUUUGAUACAAUUAUACAAGUUUCAAUAUGCUAACUAUGGCUUAUUGGGCCUUUCACCUUUGGGUCAUUAGCAUUAAAGUUUGUGAUGAGAGUAGUUGUUUUGCCCCCACGCAAACUCUCAAUGCUGUUGUAUUUCGAGACCUGGCAGGGAAGGAUCAAGGAAAAUUUAUGAAAUUAGCCAUUAUAUUUUAUUAAAUUAUAAAACUAACCACACAAGUUUUUUUCUAUCAAAACUAGCUAAAUAACAAAAUUUUGGACCAAAUUACCCCUAUUACUCUCAACUAAGCUCACCAAAAUCUUUCACUCACUCAAAGUUCUCACCUAUUGGCAGCACUAUAGAGCAAAUCAGAGUUUAUCACCAGCAGCCACUCUCGCCGGAAUCACGUUUAAUAACACCAAUUCCACCAAAAUCACAACUAAUAGCAAUCAAAAUCUCCUUGAUCAACAGUUGAAGUUCAAAAAUCCUAGGUUAGCAAUUUCAAAUAGAUGCUUUGUUUUAUUCUUGUUUUGUAUUGUGGUUGUGUGGCGUUGUUGUUGUGGUGGUGGUGGAGGUUGUUGGUGGUCUUGAUGUAUUGUUGGAGUGUGUUGGUGGGAAUAUUUUGCAAUGGGUGCUAACCAAUUCGUGAAGAUUCGAACAAUGGGCAGCACCCAUCGCAUGAAAAUUUGUGUGACAACUUAUCUGUCACACAAAAUUUCACACAAUUUAUCUGUCGCCCAAAAGUCACAUAAAAAUUCAGAGUAUAUAAUUUGAAUUGUUGUGCGGUGGCUUGCCUGUUGCAGCAAGUUUUGUGCGACAGCUCACCAACAUUUGGCCGUCGCCCAGAGUUCAGAAUACCCUUUGUUGGUGAGGAUGUAGACAUGAGAACUAUAAGAUGUGGGCGGUGCAAUGAAGCAGGCUAUAACUGGAAGAGGUGCAAGAAUCCCAUUGCGUUGAGUCGAAGCUAAUCGUAUCGUUCUAAAUUCUUAUGUAUUUUGAGAACUUAUUUUUUAUUUAUUGCACAAAUAUAUAUAAAAACUCUUUAAUUUCAAUUAUAUUGCAAAUUAAUUAUUCGAAUUGUAUGUGAAGAAAGAGAAGUUAUGCAGACACCAAUAAUAAUAAUACUAUUAAAUAUAUCCACAGCAAUAAUAUAAUCCAAUAUCAUCAUUACAUAUCGGUGCCACAAUGUCCUAAAGGGCAAUAUCACCAUUAAAUAUGUCCACAACAAUAUUCUUCCUAAAGUACUGCUCAUGGCCACUACUAAAAUUGAGUCUGAGCCCGAACAUUAAAUACAUUGUAAUCAUCAACAUAAAAAUGACACAAUCGCCACCACCAGGCUCUUGUUACGACACACCCCUACAUAUUUUGACAUUCCAAGGGUCAGCACUGUGCAAGUCAUGUCGGACGUUGUAGAAUCCGACAUCAUCUAACCAUCGAGGGAAGAUGACUUCAAGUGGCUUGAAUUUAUCCUUAUACAUUUUAUCAUCACGAAACGCCACCAGUGAGUCAUAAAUCCACAAAUUUUUCUUGCGAAUGUCCACUCGAGCUACUAUCCAAUGAUCGCCACCCAGAUUCACAAGAAUGAAUACCUAUAUAAAUAAAUUAAUGUUAGUUAAUUGUUUUUUUUUUAUGUUUAAGGUAUUAAAAAAAACUAUCUUAAAUUGUGUAGCAAAAUGCACCAUAUAGACGUUUGUGAAACGUUUCGACAUGAUUUCUUCUCGUCUAUUAAUAUAACUAUUAUAAUUGCAGCUAUAUUGUAACACCACUAAAUGCAUAACUCUCCAAAUCCAAGAAGUGGUCGAAAAUAUCACUCUUGAAUAACAAUAAUUGUUUUCGUGUUAGUUUACUCUGGAUAGCUUGGAUGACUCUCUUAAAUUUUGAUGUCUCUGUAAUACGGCCCGAGAAAUGAUCGUCAAAGCCUAACUUCAUCACACCUAGACCCUUCCUCGGUGCGGGCAGAUUACGUUUGGCUAAUUUUUUUUUUGCCAUGUAACUAAAACAAAAUCAAAUUUCUAUUUGUUAUAAAAUUUUACAAAAUUAUUACAAUAAAAAUUUAAAAUAAACUUUACAAAAAAAUAAAAAUAAACACAAAUUAUCCACAGAGAGAUCUAUGUUUUUUGUGCGACGGACAUCCCAUUACAUAUAAUUUUGUGCGACAAACAUAUUAUCACACAAAAGAAAUUCAAUGUUCUACACACAAGCACUGUUUUUUUGUGCGACGGUCAUCCGAUCACACAAAAACAUGUGGGACGAGAUUCCCGUCGCACAAAAAUAUAGAGCUUGUGCUUUUGUUAGCCAAAAGCAAUGCUCUGUAUUUUUGUACUGAGCCUUCGCUCGUGUUUGGUGCGAUGGGUAGUAGCCAUCGCACUAAAUCUGGUGCGAUGGGCUAUGCCCGUCGCGUGAUGGCCGCUGCAAAUUCUGUUCAAUGGGCAGCAACAGCCAUCCAACACCCAUCAACAUACAUACAAAACUCCCAUAUCCCGCUUGCAACACACCAACCCACCACUGCCAUCAACAACCGCAAAUAAUCAAACUAUCACAACCGCCACCAACCCAACACCACAACAACAACAACAACAAAGCACAUCAACACCACAAAAUCGCAAGACAAAUAAAAAAAGAAGAGGUAAGAACUCACCUAGGGUUUUGAAUUUUUACAAUUGAUUUUGGAGAUCUUGGAUGAUUUUGAACAUGAGAGGUGAUUUCGGCCGCCAAUGAUGGAUUCUGGUGCCACUCUACAUCGCUGACGAUAGAUAAGCGAUUCCAGUGAGAUGGGAGGAUUUAGGGGAGAGAGGAGGGUGAGAAUGAGAGGGGUAGUUUGGUCUUCAAAGUUGGUGUUUGGCUAAUUUUGAUUGAAAAAGGUUUGGGGGGCCAAAGUUGAAAAAUGUAAAAAUUUAAUGGCUAAUUUCAUAAAUUUCUCAAGGAUCUGUGUAUGGCCGAUAGUUGACGAAAAAUGAAUUUUUUUUUUUUUUUUUUUUACAUUCAACAAUGCCCUUCGGUGAUUUUCGCUUGAUGAGUUAGGAUGAGAGUGUUCGUGGAUAGUUCACUGGUCGUUUGGUGUGGUAUCAUGUAGAAGAAGAGAACAAAGCAUGAACCAAAAGUGAACUACCCAAUGAACUAGCAAAAUGGAUUUUGAGAAGCGUAAGUGUUAGAGUGCAAUUUAUGCACUAGUUUUGCAUUGUUUACUUCCCUUAAUAUCGAUGUUUUGCACUUAAUAAUAAUGUUUUACUUGUGUUUUACUUUUGUAGGUGCAAUUCUAUUGAUUGGUAAUAAAAUUGAGCUAAAAGAUGAUGUUUAAGGAGGAUUGUUCUCUUGGAGAAAUUAUGAGCGUCAGAAGAACUUUGUUGAUAAGGCGUGGGCGCGUGCUGUCAACUGCGGACCUACAGUUUUUAGUUUAACGUGUUUUGUAUUUUUGGUUAUUUUUGUAAUUACGAAUUUAAUAUUUCAGAUAUUAGUAUUUUAUUUUAAAUAGAAUUCUAAAAGAGAAGAGAGAGAGAGUAUUUAAGGGAAGAAUCUAUUGUGAACCAGGGGAAUUUUGGAUUGGAGAAAAAGAAAGAAACCCUAGAUCUUAAUUUUUCUCUUCUCUCUAUGAAGAACUAAACCUAUUUUUCUGGUUGAAGGAUAAUGAAGCUUUAAUUCAUCACUACUGUGAGAUCUUUCUUGUGCUUUAAUUGUUUUAUUGCUUUUUGGGUAUUUGUUUAUUCUCUGAAUUAUUUUCAUGAUUAUGUUUGUUAAUUAGGUAAUUGGUCACUAUUUAAUUAUCAACUUAAUCUAUUGUCAAUUAAAGGAUUCAUCGUAUGAAGAAUUUAAUAUUUGUGACAAAUAACAUAGCAGAGAGUUGUGUUGUGAGAAUAAAUAAUCUAAUUUAAAUGAAUCAUCAUAUGUGUUGAUUAGGAUUUGGGUCUCUCUGGUUUUUCAGGCUGUCAAUUGAUUAAAUCCUAUUAUCGUAUCUAGGGUUGUCUAUUGAUUAGGGAAAUAACCAACGGUCGUACCUUGGUUAUCGACUAGUUAAUGAGAGAUUGGCUAUUAGAGGGUCUCAGUAGCUAUAACCGGUCUAUUCAUAAGUAAUAAUAAUCUAUAUUUGAAUCAAUGAUCAGUAGUCGAAUCAAGCUGAGUUAAUUCCUUCAACCAGAGCUUUCUCCAAUUUGAAUCACAACUUUAAUUUACAUUCUCGUUAUUUUAAUUUGAUUUUUUAUUAUUGUCAACAAUUCCCCCAUUUUACGUUUUACGUUUCAAAAGGAUUUAAAUAAUUACCGAUCUCUGUGGACACGACCCUACUCAAUCACUAUACACAAUUUAUUUAGAGUAGGAAUUUAUUUUUGUUGGCUUCGACACCCAUCAGUAAGUUAUGUUGCUAAUAUCAAGCAAGUCUAAUUUGAUUAUCUCUGUUCUGGUUCAGCUUUAAAAUUUGUACAUGCCCAAAAAAGCUUCCCUACUACACAACAGAUAAUGGAUUUUUAUUUCAAAAUUUUUUAGUAGAGUUGUUCGAGCUCUUGAUAUUGUCACAUCAGACCCCGACGCCCCAUAUUUAUCUGCACACCAAUUAAAUCUCUUAUGAUAUAUUUACUAAAUGUGAAUAAGAAUGAGAUGAAAUCAAAAUGAGCAAGAGUCGGAAUGGGUUGGAAUGAAAAUAAAGAAUAGGAAUAAAAAUAAAUUUUUUACUUGAAUUUUAAGAAUUUGAAUGAGUUGAAUUGUUGUAAAUUACUAAAAUGUCCUUUAUUAAGUAUUGUUAUAAUUAUUAUUUUGUUUUUUAAUUAUCGUGAUUAUGUAUUCAAGAAUUAUUAUUAUUAAUUAUAGUUAUUAAUAUAUUAAUUAAUUAUAAAAAUUUUAUCAUUAAAAAUAAAGAUAAUAAUAAUAUUAACAUUAAUAUCUAAUAAUUUAUUAAUUAUAAUUUAUCAUUAAGAAGAGAAGAGGAGGAGGAGGAGAUGAAGAAGAAGAAGAAGUAUGAGGAAGAGGCUAAGUCAACCGUAGAGCUCAUUAAUGACAAGAAUGAAACUUUCACCCUCACUACAAAAUAUUUGAGCAUAGUCAUUGCGGCACUGAGAUGGAAGAAAUAAGAGACACUAUCGUUAUAGUAUUUUUGUGUUAAAUAAUUUUUGCAAGUGCUCGGAAAUCAAGCUGAUUUAUUGUUAUUCUCAAUAGGGGGCUGAUUGCGGAGUCUUCCACCUUCUAGUGUGAGAUUACAUACGUUUCUCAUUGCAAGACGUGGGCUCCACAGCUCAACUCCUCACACGUGUGUAGUCGCGCACUUGAUUACAAUUUUCUCAAUUGGAUCUGAAAUCACUUGCUAGUAAAUGUUUAAAUAAGGAAACAUGGAAGCCUUCAAUGAUCUUGUUGUGUCUAUUUUAUUUGAAUUCUAAAUUUGCCCUUAGCCUUUGCAAGUUGGUUUUAGUUUCUGAUAGCCUUUGCGCCGCCGCUAUCAGGCUGUGUCAAACCACCCGUGUUGAGGAACGUCUUGGGCCGUAAAAGAGUUUUUGGUUAGAUAAUGAACAUUUGGUCAAAUUGGUCAAAUUUGCCGCCGUUCAGAUAAAACCCUUUACCUACUGCUUUUUGUUCAUUUAACCCCUAAAACCCCCCCGUCUCUUAAAAGCCAAAACUGAGAACACCGCUAGUCCCAAAAUGCGGAGACUCAAUUCAUUUCCAAAUUCCCAAAACUUAGCAAUCAAAUCCCUUUUCUCAUUCUUCUCUUCACUUUCGAAGACCCAUAAUACAAACCCCAUCCUCCUUAAUUACCUAAUCGAAACCCUAAAAAUUCCCGAAUCACGAGCCCUUGUGAUCUCAAACAAAUACUCUCACAUUAAAUCCCUAGAAAAACAGCAAACUGUUCGUCAAUUUUUCCGCAAUGUUGGGUUAUCCGAUAACCACAUUCAGCUGGCAGUUAGUGCAACACCCAAAAUUCUAUUCUCCGAUAUUAACAAGACCCUUAAACCAAAGAUUGAGCUUUUUCAACGUUUGGGUUUUGUGGGUUCUGAUUUGGGUAAGUUUGUUUCCAAAAAUUCAUUCCUUUUAGCUGUUAGUUUGGAGAAAAAAUUGAUUCCAUGUGUUAAAAUUAUUCAGAAAAUAUUAGCGGAUCGUACUACUAAUGAAAAUUUGAUUCGUGUUGUUAGUAGAUGCAACUGGAUUCUCACAAGAGACCCAGAGAAAUCAGGGCUAUUAAGAAACAUUGAAUACUUGAAGAGUUGUGGCAUUGUUGGUUCUCAGUUGUCUGCUUUAUUAGUGAGGCAAACUAGGCUAUUUUGUUUUGAGGAAUUGAAACUUAGACAGCUUGUUUUGCGGCUUUUAGAUAUGGGCUUUUCGACUGACUCUAGGAUGUUUGUUCAUGGAUUGGAUGCACUUUGCUGCUUUAGCGAAGAAACAGUUGAUAGAAAAUUGGAUUUAUUUAGGAGCUAUGGAUUUUCCAAAGAAGAGUUCAUGGAAAUGUUUCGGAGGGCACCUGGAAUAAUUAGGUCGUCUGAGGAGAGUUUGAAGUCGAGACUUGAGUUCUUUCUGAAAGAGAUCAAAUUUAAAAAGUCGGUGUUGGUUCAUAAUCCAGUUUGUUUAACGCUAAGUGUAGAAAAUCGAGUGAUUCCUCGAUAUAGGGUUUUUCAGAUUGUUAUGUCAAGGGGAAUGUUGAAGAAGGAAUUGAGUUUUCGUUCAAUGCUGCUCUUGAGUGAGGAGAAUUUCUUGGAGAAGUUUGUGUUGAGUUUUGGAGAAGAUGCAGAGGAGUUGUUGCUAGCUUACAAGGGCCACAAGUUAGGUUCUUCUGGAGAACAACAAUUACAAUGAGGGUUUUUGUUUUUACUUGAACAAACCUUGUGGUCUGGUGCAUUUUCAGGACCUGUGACAGAAGGAUCUGAGGGCAGCUGGUACUAUGCAAUGAAAACAUCUAGUGGUUUGUUUCAUCAUCAUGAAGCGGUUUCUGGGCAUUUUAAUGUUCUUUCCGCUAUGUGUUUGAGCAGCAGAGUUUACGUGGAUAGUUUACUUUUGGUUAGGUGGUGUGUAGGAGAAGUGAAUUACUGUGUAAAAGAGCUCUGCUGGAGAUAAGUUCUGUACCAAAAUCAGACAAGUCUUAGAUGAUCUCUGUUCUGUAUCUCUGUUCCUUUUUUCUUUUUCCCUCACUGAAAAUUUUCUUGCAAGGAGACAUCUCCAUUGAUUAUUUUGAUGUUGUUUGAGUUUGAUCUUCAGAUGAAAAUGAUUACGAUUUUUCUUUUUUAAAUUUUAUUUGUGUGUUCUCAAACAUUUUUAAUGCCGAGAGAGGCAUAGUUGCUAAUGGCAAAUGGGUGGGGGCUAUUUGCACCCUAAAACACACACUUUUAGUACACUGCAUUCCAUAAACGAAGAAGUUCAGUUACAAAUAUGGAUGAAUAGCAUGAGUCGAAUCAUCCGGCCAUACCUCCAAAUAACCAACAGAAUAGCUAAAUAUGGCCGAAACCUAUCAGAAGGCUUGAUAUAUUUGAACAAUAAAUACUUGUAAAAUCUAAUGUUAAAACCUGUAUCGAUCAUCGAAAUUUGCCUUGCUCCAUGGCACGUCUUUCGCACUUGACAUUCUACCUAACGUCCCAUUCAUAUUUUGGCCUUGUUAGUUUGGCCAAAUUCUAAAUCUAAUUGCCCUUCCGAAAUCCUUGAGCUAUUUCUCGUUAAUUUAAGCCCAAAAACCCUAAACUAUCGAAAGCCAAUACUGAAAAGACUGUAGUCCCAAAAUGCAGAGACUCAAUUCAUUCCGAAAUUCCCAAAACUUUGCAAUCAAAUCCUUCUUCUCAUUCUUCUCUUCCGUUUCGAAAACCCCAAAUACAAACUCCAUCUUCCUCAAUUAUUUAAUCGAAACCGCAAAUAUUCCCAAAUCACGAGCCCUUGUGAUCUCAAACCAGUUCUCACGCAUUAAAACCCUUGAAAAACCGCAAACUGUGUGUCAAUUUUUGCACAGUGUUGGAUUCUCUGACACCCACAUUCAAUUGGCAGUUUAUAGAAAACCCUCUAUUCUCUUCGCUGAUGUUAACAAAACCCUUAAACCAAAGAUCGGAUAUUUCCAGCAGCUGGGUCUUGUGGGUUCUGAUUUGGGUAAGUUUAUUUCCAAGUAUCCAAAUGUUUUAUCUGCUAGUUUAGAGAGAAAAUUGAUUCCAUGUGUUGAAAUUCUUAAGGAAAUUUUAGCGGAGGACUCUAAUAAUGAAGAUUUGAUUCGUGUUAUUCGUAGAAUGAGUUGGGAUCUUGUGGUAAUAGACCCGGAGAAAUCGGGGUUGUUAAGAAACAUUGAAUACUUGAAAAGCUGUGGCAUUGUUGGGUCUCAGCUGUCAAUGUUAUUAGUGAGGCUACCUAGGCUAUUUUGUUUUAAUGAUUUGAAACUUAGACAGCUUGUUUUGCGGGUUUUAGAUAUGGGCUUUACGACUGACUCUAGGAUGUUUGUUCAUGGAUUGGGUGCACUUUGCUGCUUGAGUGAAAAAACAUUUGAUAGAAAAUUGGAUUUAUUUAGGAGCUAUGGAUUCUCAAAAGAAGAGUGCAUUGAAAUGAUUAGGACAGCACCUAGAUUGCUUAGUGCGUCGGAGGAGAGGUUAAAGUCUGGACUUGAUUUCUUCUUGAAAAAGAUUGAAUUUGGAAAGGCGGUGCUGGUUCGUAGGCCCUGCUGUAUGAUGUACAGCAUUGAAAAUCGAGUGAUUCCUCGAUAUAGAGUUUUUCAAAUUGUUACGGCGAGGAGGAUGUUGAAGAAGGAUUGGAGUUUUUAUUCAGUACUGGUUUUGAGUGAGGAGAAUUUCUUGAACAAGUAUGUGCUGAGUUUUGGAGAUGAUGCAGAGGAGUUGUUGCUAGCUUACAAGGGCCACAAGUUGGGUGCUUCUUCUUAAAAACAACUAUUGCAGUGAGGGUGGUUUUUCUGCCUGACGCAAACCACAGGUCUGAUGUUUUUUCAGGCCCUAUAACAGGAUGAUCCGAGAGUAGCUUAUGGUAUGCAAGAACAACAUCAAGUGGCUUGUUUCACAAUCAUAAAGUGGUUUCUUCUGGGCAUUUCAAUGUUCUUGCUGCUUUGUGUUUGCUGGCAUCAAAUGAAUGGUGAAUUUCUCUUUAAAAGAGCACUGCUGGAGAUAAAUGUAAGCUCAGAGCCAAUAUUAGACAAGUCUUUGAUGAUCUCUGUUCUAUAUCUGCUUGAAAUUUUGCUUGUAUGUCUUGGAAUUACACUUUUUCUUCCUUGUCUUGUUAAUUCAUCUCGUUUGAGCCUUCCUGUUUCGGGUUAAUCUCUCUCUCUCUCUCUCUCUUUUUUCUUUUUUCCAACUGAAAACUUCCAAUUUCGUGUUAAUCUUUUUCUUUUCAACUGAAAAUUUUCUUGCAGGCAAACACUUAAAUUGAUUAUUUUGUUGUUUGAGUUUGAUCUUCAAUUGAAAAUGAUUCUAAUUCUUUUGUGUACUCAAAUGUGUUUAAUGCUGAGAGAGAGGCAUAGUUCCUAAUGGCAAAUGGGUAGUAAGGAACUAUGGUAGCUUAAAGAUGUCACAUUAUUGAUUCAUCGUCACAUUAUUUGAUUCAUCUACUUCUCCAAAUGAAGAAUCUUCAUGCAACUUUCCUCUCUGGGACAUUUUGAAGACUGCGCAAGUAACAAGAAGUUAUUUUUCAGUUGCAUAACUAACACUAUCCUGCCUAAUGUGGCCGUAUAACAUCAGCAGUAAAGAAAUUUUAUGGUACCUGAAAUUGUCGCCGAAACUUUUAAAAUGCUUUCCCUAAUUCUUAUAAUGUUUAGAUCUUGUAAGUGUUUCCUAUAACUUGAGAUUGAGUUGCAAUUUUUAAUUAGUUAGUUUAUAGUUUGGUUUUUAUUUUCUGCUAAUAAAAUUUCAUACAAUGAAGCUAAAUUUUGAAUUUUGAACAUACGGUCAAAUAUUGAUUCAAGAUCUACGUGAUGAUGUAAGUUGGGGUUCAGGAAUGGAGAAUUGGAGAACCAUCAUGUGUGUGUGGUAUAUUUUGGGCACCAAAUUAAGUCGGUAGCUUCCACUUUAAUUGCCAGAUUAAAAAAACUUUUUAAGCACCGGGUUUUUUUAACUUACAAAAGUGCCUAUGUGAGAUCAAAAUUUACAUCUUAUAUAAUUUUUUAAGGAGUUUUUUGACUUUUCUAAAAAUUAAUUAAUUAAAAUUGUGUGCUAAUAUUUUCAAUUAAGUUAACUAUAAUACGUAUUUUUUCUCUCCUGAUUUUUAACCCAAAAAUAAUAAUAAUAAUGAAAAGAAAAGAAAAGAAAAGAAAAACAAAAAACAAGGAAAGCCCUAACAACCUAAUCCCGCUCUCCAGCGGAAACAAUCCCAAAAUGCAGAGACUCAAACUCAAUCCAUUUCCAAAUUCCCAAAACUUUGCGAUCAAAUCCCUUUUCUCCCUUUUCUCUCUCUUUCGAAGACCCCAAAUUCGACAAACUUCAUCUUCCUCAAUUUCCUAAUCAAAACCCUAAACAUUCCAAAAUCACGAGCUCUUCCGAUCUCGAACAAAUUCCCACGCAUUAAAUCCCUUGAAAAACGGGAAACCGUGCGUCAAUUUUUUGCACAAUGUUGGAUUCUCUGAUACCCACAUUCAAUUGACUGUUACUUCAAGACCCACAAUUCUAUUCUCUGAUGUUGACAAAACGCUAAAACCAAAGAUUGAAUUUUUCCAGCAUCUGGGUCUUGUGGGUUCUGAUUUGGGUAAGUUUAUUUCCAAAAAUCCAUCUCUUUUAGCUGCUAGUUUAGAGAGGAAAUUGAUUCCUUGUGUCGAAAUUCUUAAGAAAAUUUUAGUGGAUGACUCUAAUAAUGAAGAUUUGACUCGUGUUUUUCGUAGAUGCUGUUGGAAUCUGAUAAUGGACACAGAGAAAUCAGGGUUGUUAAGGAACAUUGAAUACCUGAAAAGUUGUGGCAUUGUUGGGUCUCAGCUCUCAAUGUUAUUAGUGGGGCACCCUAGGCUAUUCUGUUUCAAGGAAUUGAAAAUUAGACACCUUGUUUCGCGGCUUUUAGAUAUGGGAUUUUCAACUAACUCGAGGAUGUUUGUUUAUGGAUUGGUUGUACUUAGUUGCUUGAAUGAAGAAACAUUUGGUAGGACAUUGGAAUUAUUUAGGAGU